rnacentral:rRNA from 1 species
UGGAUCCAGACUUUGAUUCUGGCUCAGGAUGAACGCUAGCUACAGGCUUAACACAUGCAAGUCGAGGGGCAGCAUAUCGGUAGCUUGCUACUGGUGAUGGCGACCGGCGCACGGGUGAGUAACGCGUAUCCAACCUUCCCAUGACUGGGGGAUAACCUUGCGAAAGUAAGACUAAUACCCCAUGGUUUCCGAGGCGGACAUCCAAUUUGGAAUAAAGAUUCAUCGGUCAUGGAUGGGGAUGCGUCUGAUUAGCUUGUUGGCGGGGUAACGGCCCACCAAGGCGACGAUCAGUAGGGGUUCUGAGAGGAAGGUCCCCCACAUUGGAACUGAGACACGGUCCAAACUCCUACGGGAGGCAGCAGUGAGGAAUAUUGGUCAAUGGACGAGAGUCUGAACCAGCCAAGUAGCGUGCAGGAUGACGGCCCUAUGGGUUGUAAACUGCUUUUAUACGGGAAUAAAGUCAAUUACGUGUAAUUGUUUGUAUGUACCGUAUGAAUAAGGACCGGCUAAUUCCGUGCCAGCAGCCGCGGUAAUACGGAAGGUCCGGGCGUUAUCCGGAUUUAUUGGGUUUAAAGGGAGCGUAGGCCGCCGAUUAAGCGUGUUGUGAAAUGCCGCAGCUCAACUGUGGCACUGCAGCGCGAACUGGUUGGCUUGAGUGCGCGGAAGGCAGGCGGAAUUUGUGGUGUAGCGGUGAAAUGCUUAGAUAUCACGAAGAACCCCGAUUGCGAAGGCAGCUUGCCGCAGCGCUACUGACGCUGAAGCUCGAAAGUGCGGGUAUCGAACAGGAUUAGAUACCCUGGUAGUCCGCACGGUAAACGAUGGAUGCCCGCUGUUCCGGCUAUAUGUUGGAGUGGCCAAGCGAAAGCGUUAAGCAUCCCACCUGGGGAGUACGCCGGCAACGGUGCAACUCAAAUGAAUUGACGGA